UCGUAAAAAUUGUACUCCAUAUAGUAGAGCUAUAUGUGUAGAUUGCAUGUAUUGUGGAUAGUGCUUGGUUUUGCAAGUUGAGAACAUGACUCCAUGCUAGAAUUGAGUGAACUAUGCAUCAUGAACAUAUUAAUGCCAUGCUUGGGACUCGUUGAUCAAAAGUGUCAUAAAGAGGCACUUGGAAUUAGUAAACUAUAAAAUGCCACUUAGAGACAUGAUGAUAGGCCAUUGUAUAUCUGCUAUAUUCCAUGUUAGAGACAUGAUGACAUAGGGAUAGGCCUUUGAGAUACUUGACACAUUCCAUGUUAUUAGACAUGAGGACUUGGUACUUGCGACUGAUCGUUUGAUUACUUGCCAUUGUGCUCAUUCGCACAUGCUUGUGAGGGUCGCUCCCUACAAGCCGGCACUCCGGAGAUGGCCAUCGCGAUACAUAUUCGCCGUGCGGGAUUGGGCGCCGAAGUGGAUUGCCGUGGGCCAGGCUCAUUCCUAGGGUGGGGAUGUUGACUACCACGGGGCCAUUAGGCUCGGCACCGGCCAGACAGCCUUCGGGUGGGUCUCAGGGCCAUAGACAGCCUUCGGGUGGGUCUCAUCAGAUUCGACUUGAGUAUUCAUUAUGACAUGUGGACAGAUGAUGACUUAGAGUAUUAUUUGGACAUUGACUAGAAUAGUAAACAACGGAACUUUACUAUUUCGCAUUGUGAACAUUAUGAUAGUGGAGACUUUUACUUGAUGCAUAGUUGUUUCAUACUUAUGCUAAUUACGCUAAGUAGAGAUAUCAUGUUGUAGUAGGUUACAUUAUUUUUGCUUACCUUUCGCUUUUCUACUGUUACUGUCACUGACAUCUUUUGUAGCUUUGGGCCUUGUGGUGCAUUCACUGAAGUCAGUAAUUGCCCACUGGGAACUAUUUUAAUAGUUCUCACGCCCCUGUUUUAUGGUUUCCUUUUCAGAGCCUUCGGCACCGGCGGAGGCACGGGAUCGCGGCAAGGGAAUCGCUUAGCUAGCUAGCGAGGAGCGGUACUUGCCUAGGUGGUUUACUCUUUCUUUUGUAGUUGAGAGAGUGAGAGGUUUUGUAUCCAUGUAUAGAGACCAUCUAUGUACCUACCUAUAGCACUUGUAUUUGGGAUUUUCUAUUGUAUUUACUUUAUGUCUUAUUUAGUGGAUUUACAGUUUUAACUUUAUCCCUUGUUGUAGUAUUUAGACUCUUAUUAUGCUCUGAUACUACUAGACGUCUU
rnacentral:lncRNA from 1 species